rnacentral:rRNA from 1 species
UACGGAGGGUGCAAACGUUGCUCGGAAUUAUUGGGCGUAAAGCGCACGUAGGCGGUCCAGCAAGUCGGGUGUGAAAGCCCUCGGCUUAACCGAGGAAGUGCAUUCGAAACUACUGGACUUGAAUACUGAAGAGGAUCGCGGAAUUCCCGGUGUAGAGGUGAAAUUCGUAGAUAUCGGGAGGAACACCAGUUGCGAAGGCGGCGAUCUGGGCAGAUAUUGACGCUGAUGUGCGAAAGCGUGGGGAGCAAACAGG